GCGGGAGUGCUGGAAUUGGCAGACAGGCUAGACUAAGGAUCUAGUGGUCGCAAGGUCGUGUGGGUUCAAGUCCCAUCUCCCGCA
rnacentral:tRNA from 1 species